AGCAGGUGUAGUUUAUUUUUAAAAUAUUAGUUUUGUAAACUAAUGAUAGUGUACGUGUGGCACUUAUCUGUUU
rnacentral:tRNA from 1 species